rnacentral:rRNA from 1 species
AACGAACGCUGGCGGCAGGCUUAACACAUGCAAGUCGAACGCCCCGCAAGGGGAGUGGCAGACGGGUGAGUACCGCGUGGGAACAUACCCUUUUCUACGGAAUAGCUCUGGGAAACUGGAAUUAAUACCGUAUACGCCCUACGGGGGAAAGAUUUAUCGGGGAAGGAUUGGCCCGCGUUGGAUUAGCUAGUUGGUGGGGUAAAGGCCUACCAAGGCGACGAUCCAUAGCUGGUCUGAGAGGAUGAUCAGCCACAUUGGGACUGAGACACGGCCCAAACUCCUACGGGAAGCAGCAGUGGGGAAUAUUGGGCAAUGGGCGCAAGCCUGAUCCAGCCAUGCCGCGUGAGUGAUGAAGGCCUUAGGGUUGUAAAGCUCUUUCACCGAUGAAGAUAAUGACGGUAGUCGGAGAAGAAGCCCCGGCUAACUUCGUG